rnacentral:rRNA from 1 species
GACGUAGGGCGCGAGCGUUGUCCGGAUUUAUUGGGCGUAAAGAGCUCGUAGGCGGCUUGUCGCGUCGACUGUGAAAUCCCGAGGCUCAACUUCGGGCUUGCAGUCGAUACGGGCAGGCUAGAGUUCGGUAGGGGAGACUGGAAUUCCUGGUGUAGCGGUGAAAUGCGCAGAUAUCAGGAGGAACACCGGUGGCGAAGGCGGUGGUCUGGGCCGGUACUGACGCUGAGGAGCGAAAGCGGUGGGGAGCGAAACAGG